CAUGCCAGUAGUGCCACUGUGAAAUACCACAGUUCGCCCUCGUCUUGCUGUAAGUGCACCUGUCGCCGGUGUCGGAGCUGCCCACGUCCUCCUCGCCGCGUGAGGUGUCAGGAUUCUACCACCGGCACAGGCGCAUAGCACAGUCACUUCGUAGCCGGCCAUCCUCCACGGCUGGAUUGAUCGAUCUCGCUAGAAAAUUGACUGCCUUCACAAUAGUGUUGUGAUGGAGUUGAUGAGUGGGCUGAUAAUCAGCUCACUGAGAAAAUAGCAGGGUUGGGUGCAGACUGCAGAAGACCUUGGUCCAAUGUGCAUGGGAUUAUCCAACUGAUUGUCUAGGUAUAAACCAAAGUUGAGUCAUGAAACAUCGAAUUUGUUGUUGCUACCGUGCCUUAGUUUUGGCAUGUUCAUUUCUGCGUAAUUCCUGACCUUUAUGUCUUAUGAGUUUCAAUUAUAUUCUCCAUGCAUUUCCAUAAUGUAUUUGUGCAAUUCCAUUUUGCAUUCACACAUAUUUUUUCUCCUUUUUAUAUUGCUAUUACUGAAAUUACGUUUGCAAUUUUGUAUAAGUAUAGUCUUGCUGACUAGUUGGUCCAGAGAUUUUGGUGCUUGUAAGUAUAGAGAGACGUAAUUUGACAAGGAUAAGUGAUAAACUUCGCACUGUGUCUGGUUCCACAGGUUGAUACCACGAUCAUUAAGGCCAUUGGUUUAUUAGAUGAUCUUGACAAGAGCUUAACACUUAUGCCAAAAGGGUUGUAAAAUGGUAUGGCUGGCACUUCCAAGAGCUCGCUAAAAUAGUGACAUAUAAUAUACAUAAUGCAAAAAAAUUGGAGUUGAUGUCCAAUCGAACAAACACAUUCGAACUUGAUUUCUCUGAUGUAGUUAGAUUUUCGACAUGUCUAAAUAUGAUAGCCAUUCGUAUG